rnacentral:rRNA from 1 species
AUACAGAGGGUGCGAGCGUUAAUCGGAAUUACUGGGCGUAAAGCGCGCGUAGGCGGUCUAUUAAGUCAGAUGUGAAAUCCCAGGGCUCAACCUUGGAACUGCAUCUGAUACUGGUAGAUUAGAGUUUUGGAGAGGGAAGUAGAAUUUCAGGUGUAGCGGUGAAAUGCAUAGAGAUCUGAAGGAAUACCAGUGGCGAAGGCGACUUCCUGGCCAAAAACUGACGCUGAGGUGCGAAAGCGUGGGUAGCAAACGGGAUUAGAAACCCUAGUAGUCC